rnacentral:rRNA from 1 species
UCUCCGUAGGUGAACCUGCGGAGGGAUCAUUACACAAAUAUGAAGGCGGGCUGGAACCUCUCGGGGUUACAGCCUUGCUGAAUUAUUCACCCUUGUCUUUUGCGUACUUCUUGUUUCCUUGGUGGGUUCGCCCACCACUAGGACAAACAUAAACCUUUUGUAAUUGCAAUCAGCGUCAGUAACAAAUUAAUAAUUACAACUUUCAACAACGGAUCUCUUGGUUCUGGCAUCGAUGAAGAACGCAGCGAAAUGCGAUAAGUAGUGUGAAUUGCAGAAUUCAGUGAAUCAUCGAAUCUUUGAACGCACAUUGCGCCCUUUGGUAUUCCAAAGGGCAUGCCUGUUCGAGCGUCAUUUGUACCCUCAAGCUUUGCUUGGUGUUGGGCGUCUUGUCUCUAGCUUUGCUGGAGACUCGCCUUAAAGUAAUUGGCAGCCGGCCUACUGGUUUCGGAGCGCAGCACAAGUCGCACUCUCUAUCAGCAAAGGUCUAGCAUCCAUUAAGCCUUUUUUUCAACUUUUGACCUCGGAUCAGGUAGGGAUACCCGCUGAACUUAAGCAUAUCAAUAAGCGGAGGAA